rnacentral:misc_RNA from 1 species
CAUUUCUACUGUCAGAGAACGAAAAAGCGCCUGCACAGAGACGGAGCAUUAACCAUGCUUCUCGCUUCGCCCGAUUGCUUCUCUUCUUCUGCUGCGUCUUCUAUGCUUUCAUCUUCACUCUCUCACAAUCGUAAAUUCUACUCCCUCUUAUCUAAGACCCCAAUUUCAAUUAACUUACCUAUUCGAACUCGAUCCACACGAUUCUGUACAGCGAGCUUGAUUACUAGCCCCGACUCGUUCGAGGUUGGGAAACUCAUCGGCAGCUAUGGGUUCAUGAACGUUACGAGCUAUUCAGGGUACCAGUCGGGGAUGGAUAUGGAAUUUUCAUCUCUAGGGAAUAUGGGGCAACUGAAAGUUCAAGAUGUGGGUGAAGGUGGUGUAAAGAUCAGUUAUUUUGCAGGCUUUAUGAAGGGAGAAUAGCUCAGGGCUCGCUUAAAGGGACUCCAGUUGUUUUUAAGGUUUAUCCUGGGCAGCGAGCUGCUGGUGUUGAAGCUGAUAUGAUGGCAGCAAAUGAGCUUAAUACUCAUGCUGUACUUCAGAGUAGUUCAAAAGGUAUCUGUCAGAAUCUCCUGAUACUUGUAGGAGGAUUUGAGACCAAAACCGGGGAACAGGUCUGUUAAGUAAGACCAAAUAUCAACUUUUAAUCAUAAAGUGAUUAGAUAUUUCCUUUGGUGCAAUCAAAUUGAUUAAAUUUAUGUUGAAAAAUUUUACUUACCGAAGUCACACACAUACAAAGAUUAGAAUAGAAAAGCAGAAAGAGAGAGAAAAACGAGACACAAGAAAUUUGUGGUUUGGCAGUGAGUCUAUGUCCAUUGAGACACCCCUGCAAUUUUCCACUACAAAGGAUAAGGUUUCAAAUGCAUAUUUGUCGAUUUAAGUUUUCCUUUUAUUAGUAGAAAUGUGAAAAAUUCAUAGUUACAAGAAUAACCUCCCCUGAUUAGAACUGCCUUUGGCUGAUAAUACUGUACCAUACUGUGAGAGCAGAAACCCUGGGCAAUCCUCACCUGUCUACUCAAAAGUUGGAUAAUCUUAGGUAUUCUGUGAGGAGGCCCCUCCUUGUGAAACCCCCUUUUUGUCAAGCUUUUGCUUUGCUGCAUUUUCUCAAAAUAUGAGUCAUAAUCUCAGUAAUUUGAUGCAUUUGCAGUGGCUUGCUUUUCGUAAUGCUGGGAAAUAUAGUGCAGCAGACUAUGCAAAAAUUAUGAGUGAAAGAAUAUCAAAAAGCCAUUCCAUGGGAGAGAACUCUUGGAAUCCUUUUGAACGAGAGCAAACAAUAAAGCUAAGAAGAAACUUUGUUAUCAAGCUUCUUAGGGGUGCUAUUAGUGGCCUAGUGUACAUGCAUGACCAUGACAGAUUGCACCAGAGUCUUGGACCAUCUUCUAUUGUUCUUAAGUAUGUUAGAAAGAUUUCAUUUUACCAUUUUUUUUCCAAAUGAGUUCUAGAGUUUAUGUGUUCUUUUUCUUGGGAUUUUAUGCCAAGUAUUGCUUGACUGAUUGCAGUACUAUAAUAGAGAAAGAUGCUGCUUACUUAGUUCCACGACUUCGGGAUCUAGCCUUUUCCGUUGAUAUUCGGUACUGCAGUGUUCCUUCUCUUCUUGAUAUGAUCUGACUUUCGUGAAUUUUUUUUUUCUACUUAAAAAGUUUAAGCUCUAGAUAUUUCUGCUGUUUGGUAUGGAUAACACAACGACUGUAGUAUCCAGUAGAAAUUUUUAUGAUCAGUUAUGCUAUCAAAUGUCGUGGAUUUCCAACCUUUAUCAGGUGCACAGGUUUCAAAUUUGGCACCACUGCUAAGUACUUGAAUUUUCCAAAAUGAUAGAAGCCUUUCUAGAUCUUUGUAAUACUGCUGCCUAAUAAUUUCUCAAGCCAAAACACAUUAUUUUCUAGACCUUUAUAUCCGAUGGACAUGGUUUCCCAGGAUUUCAUGUCUAGAAGAGGGCCUUGGAACACUAUCAGAAGGACUUUGGAGAAGGGCAAUUACUUCUGGCUGCUUCACACCUAUGGAGAAAAGAGCCUUUGGAAUUGCAGAUGACAUGUAAUUUGUUCUAAUGGAAAAUCACUUUAUAAGUUGGGUUUCUUAAUGCCUAAUUCUUUUGACUGUAUUCUUUAUUGGCCCUGUAUAGAUAUGAAGCAGGUCUCCUUUUUGCGUACUUGGCUUUUGUUCCGUUUUGCGAAGCUGGCAUUAUGGAUAGUCUUUCUUUGCAAGUAAGCUAGCUACAAUGUUACCACACUACUUUCAUUCCUGCAUUAUGUCUCAACAUGCCUUUGUCUUCAUAUAUAUGCAAGCCCCUGGAUCUACAUGCAUGUGCGUACAUAUGGCUGUAGAUGCAUAUAUAAGCUGAUUUUUUAUUGACCCAAAUCAUUUCUGCAUGAACUUGCAGAGGCUUUUGGAAAAUACUUUCCAACUUGAUCUUGAAGCUGUAAGAGAGUAAGAUGAUUUUAAUACUUUAUGACUCGAGUAAAUUUCUUGUUUGUUGCAUGCAAAUGAUAAAUUUAAUAUUGCUGGAGUCUAGAUGCCUCAAACAAACUACUUUAAUUAACGAAACUUCUCUGGCUUAUUUGAUUUGGGCAUUAUGCUUUAAUUUACAAAUAUUGAAAGUUUGAGGCUCCUUGGAGUCCAUGAUUUCAUGACCUACCUAUUGGUUACGUACAGAGAAUGCUCAUUUAAAGAAGCUACAUGCCACUUGGAUAUUUAUGGACUCUAAAGCAAGUAAAAGCUCAUUUUACCAGAUUCUCCUCAAGCUUGGGAUACAUCUUUAUGAGCCUAGGGGUGGUUUUUAGAAUAAAGUCGUUUGUCUACCUAAAUGGAGCUGCAAAUAAUUGAUUGUAUAGCUUCAUGGAACAUCUGAAUUUCUAACAAGAGCACAACACAAAUUAAAGUAAUGUUCUAGCUUAUGCUAAAAAUUCAAGUGAAAAAAGUAAAUUUCUUGGCUAUUACCAUGCUCACUAUGAUGCAAUAGAUGAGGUGCCAGUCCCCUCUGUUGACACAUUUUUCUGUUGUAUCACUUGAGCUGUUAAUUGAGUCUCAUUAGAUUACCUAUUAAAAAGUUUUUUAGUCAUAUAAUGUAUAUGGACACCAUGAGUCAAAGGGCUUCUUUAAUUCUGGAGAAGUGAACAGCGUUUUCAAAAAAGAAAAGAAAAAAUAGAUAAUAUUAAUCAUUGUUAAAUGUAGGCCACUAAUUUCUUUAAUUUGAUAUUCAACUGGAAACCAAUUUCUAGGCUAUAUAUAUAUGCACAUGCAUACACAUAUUAGAUUAUGCGUUUUUCUGGUUGUAUGAAUAUUGUAUUCAUACAUUUUCUAUAUUAAAGCUUUAGGCAACAUGCAAAGGUUCAUUAUUUAUGCUUAUAAAUGUGAUAAUUUUGCAGAUGAAAACAUAAGACUAUUUGUAGGAAUUCUCUUAGGCUUGACAGUGAAUUUUGACAUCCUGUGGUCUUGGUAUUGCCAUACCCUUAUUUUCUUAUGUUUUCCCCCUUCAUUUUUAUUGCAUGAUGCAGAUAUUGUUUAGCAGAUGAUCGGUUGGAAGAAGCUGUCAAAUUUCUGGAUCUUGGUGACAGGGCCGGUUGGCAAUUACUUCAGGCAAUGCUAAAUUCUGACUUCCGAAAACGACCAAUUGCAGAAGCUGUGCUAAACCAUCGGUUCAUGACUGGCGCUGUACUUUGAGUAGCAAAAGCUGCAGUGAGUUUCCAAUGUAAUGUGCAUAAUAAAAAUUUAAAAGCAGAAUAUGCCUCAUUAAAUGAAUAAAUAGUAAACCACAGCCACAGCCACUUUUUUGCCCAACAAGUCUUUGUAAUUUCCCAAGUACAUGAUCUUCUCUUCUACACUGUGCACUCUAUGCUAUUAAAUAUUUACAUCACAAUUUAUAAUUUAU